GACGAACGCUGGCGGCGUGCCUAACACAUGCAAGUCGAACGCGAGUGUCUUUUUUUCGCAAGAAAGCAGACACUUGAGUGGCGAACGGGUGAGUAACACGUGAGCAACUCACCUUCCGGUGGGGGAUAACUGUCCGAAAGGGCGGCUAAUACCCCGUAUGCUCCCUGACCGCCGGGUCAGUGAGGAAAGUGGGCUUCGUAAGAAGCUCAUGCCAGAAGAGAGGCUCGCGCCCCAUCAGCUAGUUGGCGAGGUAACGGCUCACCAAGGCAAUGACGGGUAGCUGGUCUGAGAGGAUGGUCAGCCACACUGGGACUGAGACACGGCCCAGACUCCUACGGGAGGCAGCAGUGAGGAAUUUUGGGCAAUGGGCGAAAGCCUGACCCAGCGACGCCGCGUGGAGGAUGAAGGCCUUCGGUCGUAACUACCUGUUCUGGGGUAAGGAAAACGGGGAAGUAGGCGUGAAUAAUUACAUCCCGCCUCGACGGUACCCCGACGGAGAAACGACUCCGGCGUAACUUUACG
rnacentral:rRNA from 1 species